AAGCCAGACUCCUACGGGAGGCAGCAGUGGGGAAUAUUGCACAAUGGGGGAAACCCUGAUGCAGCGACGCCGCGUGAGUGAAGAAGUAUUUCGGUAUGUAAAGCUCUAUCAGCAGGGAAGAAAAUGACGGUACCUGACUAAGAAGCCCCGGCUAACUACGUGCCAGCAGCCGCGGUAAUACGUAGGGGGCAAGCGUUAUCCGGAUUUACUGGGUGUAAAGGGAGCGUAGACGGCAUGGCAAGUCAGAUGUGAAAGCCCGGGGCUCAACCCCGGGACUGCAUUUGAAACUGUCAGGCUGGAGUGCAGGAGAGGUAAGUGGAAUUCCUAGUGUAGCGGUGAAAUGCGUAGAUAUUAGGAGGAACACCAGUGGCGAAGGCGGCUUACUGGACGGUAACUGACGUUGAGGCUCGAAAGCGUGGGGAGCAAACAGGAUUAGAUACCCUAGUAGUG
rnacentral:rRNA from 1 species